CAUCAAAGAGUUUUGUUGUGAGAGAUGCUCCAUGGACAGCAGGAGGCGGCAAUGAGAAGGCUCCCGACAUGAGCAGCUCUGAGGAUUUUCCCAGUUUUGGGGCACCAUUCCUUCACAAGACGUCUCCUUGGGGCCCGAAGCGGCACAGCGGUGGAAAAGUCCUUCUGCCUGCUGUGAUGUCUGCUUCCUGUUAAAGGACCACUAUAGUGCCAGGAAAACAUACUCGUGCCCCCACCCUCAGGGACCCCCUCCCGCCCGGCUCUGGAAGGGGGAAAGGGGUAAAAACUUACCUUUUUCC